rnacentral:rRNA from 1 species
UAACGGCGAGUGAAGAGGGAAAAGCUCAAAUUUAAAAUCUGGCGGUCUACGGCCGUCCGAGUUGUAAUCUAGAGAAGUGUUUUCCGCGCUGGACCGUGUACAAGUCCUUUGGAACAAGGCGUCAUAGAGGGUGAGAAUCCCGUCUACGACACGGACUGCCAAGCGCUUUGUGAUACACUCUCAACGAGUCGAGUUGUUUGGGAAUGCAGCUCAAAAUGGGUGGUAAAUUCCAUCUAAAGCUAAAUAUGGGCGAAAGACCGAUAGCGAACAAGUACCGUGAGGGAAAGAUGAAAAGCACUUUGGAAAGAGAGUUAAACAGUACGUGAAAUUGUUGAAAGGGAAACGCUUGAAGUCAGUCGCGUCUUCAGAAAUUCAGCCGGGCUUCUGCCUUGCGUACUUUUCUGUGGGACGGGCCAGCAUCAGUUUCGGCUGCCAGAAAAAGAUGGGAGGAAGGUGGCACCUCCGGGUGUGUUAUAGCCUCCCGUCGUAUGUGGCAGGCGGGACUGAGGACCGCAGCACGCCUUUAAUGGCCGGGGUUCGCCCACGUAACGUGCUUAGGAUGCUGGCGUAAUGGCUUUAAGCGACCCGUCUUGAAACACGGACCAAGGAGUCUAACAUGCCUGCGAGUAUUUGGGUGGCAAACCCAUAUGCGAAAUGAAAGUGAACCGUUGGGACUUCUGUCAUGGAAGGCACCGACGCCCAGACCAGACCUAUUGUGACGGAUCUGAGGUAGAGCAUGUAUGUUGGGACCCGAAAGAUGGUGAACUAUGCCUGAGUAGGGUGAAGCCAGAGGAAACUCUGGUGGAGGCUCUACGAUU